rnacentral:rRNA from 1 species
AACGUAGGAGGCGAGCGUUAUCCGGAUUUACUGGGUGUAAAGCGCGAGCAGGCGGUUUAUCAAGUGGUGUGUGAAAGCUCUCGGCUCAACCGGGGGAGGACGGACCAAACUGAUAAACUGGAGGUAGGUAGAGGCAGACGGAAUUCCGGGUGUAGUGGUGAAAUGCGUAGAGAUCCGGAGGAACACCAGUGGCGAAGGCGGUCUGCUGGGCCUGACCUGACGCUCAGACGCGAAAGCAUGGGGAGCGAACGGG